rnacentral:rRNA from 1 species
UACGGAGGAGGCAAGCGUUAUCCGGAAUUAUUGGGCGUAAAACGUCCGCAGGUGGCACUUCAAGUCUGUCGUCAAAGACUGGGGCUUAACCCUGGAAAGGCGGUGGAAACUGAAGCGCUAGAGUGCGGUAGGGGUAGAGGGAAUUCCCGGUGUAGCGGUGAAAUGCGUAGAGAUCGGGAAGAACAUCGGUGGCGAAAGCGCUCUACUGGACCGCAACUGACACUCAGGGACGAAAGCUAGGGGAGCGAAUGGG